GGGGAUUAGUGGCGAACGGGUGAGUAACACGUGGGCAAUCUGCCCUUCACUCUGGGACAAGCCCUGGAAACGGGGUCUAAUACCGGAUAACACUCUUACUCGCAUGUGUGGGGGUUGAAAGCUCCGGCGGUGAAGGAUGAGCCCGCGGCCUAUCAGCUUGUUGGUGAGGUAGUGGCUCACCAAGGCGACGACGGGUAGCCGGCCUGAGAGGGCGACCGGCCACACUGGGACUGAGACACGGCCCACACUCCUACGGGAGGCAGCAGUGGGGAAUAUUGCACAAUGGGCGAAAGCCUGAUGCAGCGACGCCGCGUGAGGGAUGACGGCCUUCGGGUUGUAAACCUCUUUCAGCAGGGAAGAAGCGAAAGUGACGGUACCUGCAGAAGAAGCGCCGGCUAACUACGUGCCAGCACCCGCGGUAAUACGUAGGGCGCAAGCGUUGUCCGGAAUUAUUGGGCGUAAAGAGCUCGUAGGCGGUCUGUCACGUCGGAUGUGAAAGCCCGGGGCUUAACCCCGGGUCUGCAUUCGAUACGGGCAGACUAGAGUGUGGUAGGGGAGAUCGGAAUUCCUGGUGUAGCGGUGAAAUGCGCAGAUAUCAGGAGGAACACCGGUGGCGAAAGCGGAUCUCUGGGCCAUUACUGACGCUGAGGAGCGAAAGCGUGUGGAGCGAACAGGAUUAGAUACCCUGGUAGUCCACGCCGUAAACGGUGGGAACUAUGUGUUGGCGACAUUCCACGUCGUCAGUGCCGCUCUAACGCAUUAAGUUCCCCGCCUGGGAGUACGGCCGCAAGGCUAAACUCACAGGAAUUGACGGGGGCCCGCACAGC
rnacentral:rRNA from 1 species